rnacentral:rRNA from 1 species
UACGGAAGGCAGCAGUGGGGAAUAUUGCACAAUGGGCGAAAGCCUGAUGCAGCUAUGCCGCGUGUAUGAAGAAGGCCUUAGGGUUGUAAAGUACUUUCAUCGGGGAGGAAAAACAAAACUAAUAAUUUUAUUUCUUGACGUUACCCGAAAAAGAAGCACCGGCUAACUCCGUGCCAGCAGCCGCGGUAAUACGGAGGGUGCUAGCGUUAAUCAGAAUUACUGGGCGUAAAGAGCACGUAGGUGGUUUUUUUAAGUCAGAUGUGAAAUCCCUGGGCUUAACCUAGGAACUGCAUUUUGAAACUGAAAUACUAGAGUAUCGUAGAGGGAGGUAGAAUUCUAGGUGUAGCGGUGAAAUGCGUAGAUAUCUGGAGGAAUACCUGUGGCGAAAGCGGCCUCUAAACGAAUACUGACACUGAGGUGCGAAAGCGUGGGGAGCAAACAGGGAUUAGAUACC